UACGUAGGGGGCAAGCGUUAUCCGGAUUUACUGGGUGUAAAGGGAGCGUAGACGGCAAUGCAAGUCUGGAGUGAAAGGCGGGGGCCCAACCCCCGGACUGCUCUGGAAACUGUAUAGCUGGAGUGCAGGAGAGGUAAGUGGAAUUCCUAGUGUAGCGGUGAAAUGCGUAGAGAUUAGGAAGAACACCAGUGGCGAAGGCGAUUCUCUGGACUGUAACUGACGCUGAGGCUCGAAAGCGUGGGGAGCAAACAGG
rnacentral:rRNA from 1 species